rnacentral:rRNA from 1 species
UACGUAGGGUGCAAGCGUUAAUCGGAAUUACUGGGCGUAAAGCGUGCGCAGGCGGUUUUGUAAGUCUGACGUGAAAUCCCCGGGCUUAACCUGGGAAUUGCGUUGGAGACUGCAAGGCUGGAGUCUGGCAGAGGGGGAUGGAAUUCCGCGUGUAGCAGUGAAAUGCGUAGAUAUGCGGAGGAACACCGAUGGCGAAGGCAAUCCCCUGGGCCUGCACUGACGCUCAUGCACGAAAGCGUGGGGAGCAAACAGG